UACAGAGGGUGCAAGCGCUGUUCGGAAUUAUUGGGCGUAAAGGGCGCGUAGGCGGUUCGGCAAGUCUCUAGUGAAAUCUCUGGGCUCAACUCAGAGUCUGCUGGGGAAACUGCCGGGCUUGAGUGUGGGAGAGGAGAGUGGAAUUCCCGGUGUAGCGGUGAAAUGCGUAGAUAUUGGGAGGAACACCAGUGGCGAAGGCGGCUCACUGGACCGGUACUGACGCUGAUGCGCGAAAGCGUGGGGAGCAAACGGG
rnacentral:rRNA from 1 species